rnacentral:rRNA from 1 species
AACGAACGCUGGCGGCAGGCUUAACACAUGCAAGUCGAACGCACUCUUCGGAGUGAGUGGCAGACGGGUGAGUAACGCGUGGGAACGUACCUUUCGGUUCGGAAUAACCCAGGGAAACUUGGGCUAAUACCGGAUGCGCCGGAAACGGGAAAGAUUUAUCGCCGAAAGAUCGGCCCGCGUCGGAUUAGCUAGUUGGUGGGGUAAAGCCUACCAAGGCGACGAUCCGUAGCUGGUCUGAGAGGAUGAUCAGCCACACUGGGACUGAGACACGGCCCAGACUCCUACGGGAGGCAGCAGUGGGGAAUAUUGGACAAUGGGCGAAAGCCUGAUCCAGCCAUGCCGCGUGAGUGAAGAAGGCCUUAGGGUUGUAAAGCUCUUUCAGCGGGACGAUAAUGACGGUACCCGCAGAAGAAGCCCCGGCUAACUUCGUGCCAGCAGCCGCAGU